UGGGGAAUAUUGGACAAUGGGGGCAACCCUGAUCCAGCAAUGCCGCGUGUGUGAAGAAGGCCUUCGGGUUGUAAAGCACUUUAGGCUGUGAAGAAGCCAUGUAGUUUAAGAGAUGAUAUGGUUGACGGUAGCAGCAGAAUAAGCACCGGCUAACUCUGUGCCAGCAGCCGCGGUAAUACAGAGGGUGCGAGCGUUAAUCGGAUUGACUGGGCGUAAAGGGCGCGUAGGCGGUUGUAUAAGAUAGAUGUGAAAUCCCUGGGCUUAACCUAGGACUGGCAUCUAAGACUGUACGGCUGGAGUAUUGUAGAGGGUAGUGGAAUUUCCGGUGUAGCGGUGAAAUGCGUAGAGAUCGGAAGGAACACCAGUGGCGAAGGCGGCUACCUGGACAAAUACUGACGCUGAGGCGCGAGAGCGUGGGGAGCAAACAGGAUUAGAUACCCCUGUAGUCC
rnacentral:rRNA from 1 species